UACGUAGGGUGCAAGCGUUGUCCGGAAUUAUUUGGGCGUAAAGAGCUCGUAGGCGGUCUGUCGCGUCGGCUGUGAAAUCCCGGAGCUCAACUCCGGGUCUGCAGUCGAUACGGGCAAACUGGAGUACUGCAGGGGAGACUGGAAUUCCUGGUGUAGCGGUGAAAUGCGCAGAUAUCAGGAGGAACACCGGUGGCGAAGGCGGGUCUCUGGGCAGUAACUGACGCUGAGGAGCGAAAGCGUGGGGAGCGAACAGG
rnacentral:rRNA from 1 species